CUAGAAUGAAAGUUAUUUGAAGGUCUGUCUAAACACCAUAAUAUCUUUGCAAAAGGUUAUGAUUCAAAGAAUAUCCUAAUCCAUACAUCCCAACAGUCCUGGAUCUGGCAGGUCUGUUGGGAUCUCUCGCUCCUGUUCUGCUGUCCGAGGUUGGAAGUCUAGCAACUGGAUUGCAAGAGCAUCAUUAGAUCUGCUCGCUCUGUGCUGAGAUCAGAACUCUUUUCAUGUUCUGCACUGAGAAUUGCUGCCCAGUGAAGCUGUAACACUCCCAGGUGAGAAUUAAAGGAACAAUAUAGGAUCAGGAACACAAACAUGUAUUCCUGACCCUAUAGUGUUAAA